GGCAGUCGUUGGCGCAGGAACUUUGGUGACUCUAGAUAACCUCGGCCAGAUUGCACGUCCCCGUGAUGGUGACGACGCAUUCGGAUGUCUACCCUAUCAACUUUCAAUGGUACUUUCUGCGCCUACCAUGGUGACCACGGGUAACGGGGAAUCAGGGUUCGAUUCCGGAGAGGGAGCCUGAGAAACGGCUACCACAUCCAAGGAAGGUAGCAGGCGUGCAAAUUAACCACUUCCGACGUGGGGAGGUAGUGACGAAAAAUAACAAUACAGGACUCUUUUGAGGCCCUGUAAUUGGAAUGAGUACACUUUAGAUCCUUUAAUGAGGAUCUAUUGGAGGGCAAGUCUGGUGCAGAGCGACUGACCAUUGUGUGCUGCAGCUGAAACACCACUAUCUCCUGCUGCUGCU